ACCAUGUCUACGGGAGCCCCUCCCCAAAGCACCACUCUUCCCGUAAGGUCGCCCAACCGCGAGCUCCUUUCUCCAUUGUCCGCACCUACUAGCGAAUCUCUCAUUGUCGACCGUCCCUCCCUUGGGGGUUUCUUUGGUGGUCGAGGAGAUGGUGGUGCCGAUGCUAGAAGGGGGUGGAGUAGGACAGUGAGCAGAUCUGGCAGGUUGGGCAUGGAGGAAAGUGGUGCCGACGUUAGGAUCAGGGGAAUGAAGGAAAGGGAGAAAAAAAUGAAAAAUAAAAUAUAUGUGGGC
rnacentral:lncRNA from 1 species